UGUGAUUAAAGUUGUUUUAGUUGGUGAGAUGGUACAAUCUUUGGCUUGAGUACAUUUAUUGAUGCCCUUUUUUCUUCUUCAUAUAAUCCAUUUUUGGAAGUAAUAGAAUAAGUCUAGAAAAGUUCAUUAAUAAUUUUGUACAGGUUACAUUGUGGGAGAAGAAUUUACAUCUAUUUCUAUUCCCACUCCUGCUAACACUUAAUGACUAGUAUCAAAAUUGGAACUCUCCUGUGCUAUCGUUCCUACAAUAUCUCAAUUGUUGUGCUAUCUUGGUGAAAUCAAAGAGAAACGCCUCUAGUGACAGUCUUCCAUUAAUGUCAGGGUAUACAUUAAGCUCACAUCUGGCCUCAUCAAUUUUUUUAACCAAUCAUCUGCAAAAUCCCCGAGCCCGUUAAUCACGUCGUUGUAUCUUCUUUGGCAUUGCUCUUUGGCCCUUUCAGAUUCCGUGAAGGUUUCAUCCCAACUUGUGGCCCAUUAUCCCUGUUUUUUCAAGAGUUCAUCGUAGGCUUCCAUAAGAUCCUUCAAAUCAGUAGCAAGUCAAUUUUCUUUAUCGUUAGCCUUUUCCAUGUCUAACUAAUGGUUUGUCGCCACUUCAUAUCCUCUUUUGUGAGCAUGUUCCAGGGCUGCUUGAUAAUCCUUUAUCAUGCUCAUUGCUUGGGAAGAUUCUUUCCGGCUCUGUUCAGUAUCAGCCAUGACCAUAUCAAGGUUUCUCUCAAUUUCUUUCUUUUCUUGCACAUUAUUCAUAACAUCGCGACACUUGGCUUUGAGUCGUUCCUUUAGAUCAUUGUUCUCUCUUAUCAACUUGAACUUGUCAAAUUUUGAGCACAUGUUAGCAUAAUCUUUUUUAUGCUGGCCAUCUCCUCUUGUAGAUUUCUGUUGGAC
rnacentral:lncRNA from 1 species